rnacentral:rRNA from 1 species
AGGUAGGACUACCCGCUGAACUUAAGCAUAUCAAUAA